UGACGGUGACUUCGGUCAGUCGACACUCGUCUGCAUGUUUAUUAUUGCCUGAAUCGUCGGCGUGCACUUCUCCCCUAGUAGGACGUCGCGACCCGUUGGGUGUCGGUCUACGGCUCGGAUGGUARCCUGUCUCGCGUGCGUCUCACGGCGUUUCGCGGGUCAGACCUCCGAUCGCCCGACCGGCUGCUCGGCGGUACUCGCACGGUAUCUGGCCGCAAAUAUUUGAACUGCGUCCGGCCYGUCGCAAGCGAGGCAAGUGUUUCCCGGCUGUACGGAUUUAAUGCCGUCGCCGGGCCUUGACAGCUGUUGGUUGACGGUGUCCUGGGACUGGUCACCAAAAUUAUGAUACCGGUCGGCGACGCUACUGCUUUGGGUACUUUCAGGACCCGUCUUGAAACACGGACCAAGGAGUCUAACAUGUGCGCGAGUCAUUGGGAACUAUUAAACCUAAAGGCGCAAUGAAAGUGAAGGUCGGCCUUGCGCCGACAGAGGGAGGAUGGGCCGCGUCACGAUGCGGUCUCGCACUCCCGGGGCGUCUCGUUCUCAUUGCGAGAAGAGGCGCACCCAGAGCGUACWCGUUGGGACCCGAAAGAUGGUGAACUAUGCCUGGUC
rnacentral:rRNA from 1 species